rnacentral:misc_RNA from 1 species
GAUGAAGAACGUAGCGAAAUGCGAUAAGUAAUGUGAAUUGCAGAAUUCAGUGAAUCAUCGAAUCUUUGAACGCACAUUGCGCCCCUUGGUAUUCCGAGGGGCAUGCCUGUUCGAGCGUCAUUAUAACCCCUCAAGCUCAGCUUGGUGUUGGGGCCUGCUGCACUGGCAGCCCUUAAAAUCAGUGGCGGCGCCGUCUGGCUCUAAGCGUAGUAAUUCUUCUCGCUAUGGAGUCCUGGUGGAUGCUUGCCAUCAACCCCCAAUUUUUCUAUGGUUGACCUCGGAUCAGAUAGGGAUACCCGCUGAACUUAAGCAUAUCAAUAAGCGGAGGA